UGAGAUUGUUCAGUUUCCUUCGGAAGCUCAAAGACUCAAGGCAACAUUUGCCCGUUUAUUUGCAUUUUUAAUUUUGGUUGUCAUAUCUUUAUUAAAGAAGGUAUCGAAAAACAUAGGGACGGGCAUGAUUCAAGGGCAAUGUGAAACUCUGAGCCCGAAAGGUGCUCAAAACAAAGAUUAUUAUCAAAAGAAGUACUCAAGACUUUUCUUAACAUUGACCACAGAAAAUGUGAAAAGAAAACUUAUCGAAAUUAUCUCACUUCGCGGGCAACAGGAAGUUGAAGACGAAUAUAUGAUAUAUUUAUAUUUGGUUGUCAUAUCUUUAUUAAAGAUGGUAUCGAAGAACUUGUGGGCAGGCGGAAGCCAAUCUUGAAACCCAGAUUUCAGAAAAUAAAAUAUAUUAAAAGAAUGUUUACUGAAGAUAGUUGAAA